rnacentral:rRNA from 1 species
GAUGAACGCUGGCGGCGUGCUUAACACAUGCAAGUCGAACGAAGCACUUUAUUUGAUUUCCUUCGGGACUGAUUAUUUUGUGACUGAGUGGCGGACGGGUGAGUAACGCGUGGGUAACCUGCCUUGUACAGGGGGAUAACAGUUGGAAACGGCUGCUAAUACCGCAUAAGCGCACGGCAUCGCAUGAUGCAGUGUGAAAAACUCCGGUGGUAUAAGAUGGACCCGCGUUGGAUUAGCUAGUUGGUGAGGUGACGGCCCACCAAGGCGACGAUCCAUAGCCGACCUGAGAGGGUGACCGGCCACAUUGGGACUGAGACACGGCCCAAACUCCUACGGGAGGCAGCAGUGGGGAAUAUUGCACAAUGGGCGAAAGCCUGAUGCAGCGACGCCGCGUGAGCGAAGAAGUAUUUCGGUAUGUAAAGCUCUAUCAGCAGGGAAGAUAAUG